rnacentral:rRNA from 1 species
UACAGAGGGUGCAAGCGUUAAUCGGAAUUACUGGGCGUAAAGCGUGCGUAGACGGUCAUGUAAGUCGGGUGUGAAAGCCCCGGGCUCAACCUGGGAAUUGCAUUCGAGACUGCAUGGCUAGGAUGCGGAAGAGGGAAGCGGAAUUUCCGGUGUAGCGGUGAAAUGCGUAGAUAUCGGAAGGAACACCAGUGGCGAAAGCGGCUUCCUGGUCCAGCAUCGACGGUUCAGGCACGAAAAGCGUGGGGAGCAAACAGG